GGGUGCGUGAUAAAUGUCAUCGCGCAGGAAUCGAGGUGGUCGGGCCGCCACCU
rnacentral:ncRNA from 12 species